UUGAGUUCAAAAAAAAGAGGCAUGUGUGGCUUUCAGGGUACAUGGUCACACACAGAAUAACAACUCUGAGCUUCAAUCAAACAACCUAGAGUAUAAUGGCGAUUCAACACAACUAACUACAAGAACAUACUAUCAGUAACAGAAAAAAACAAACUAUUGAACCUAGAUUCUAGAACUCAAUCAAGUUGCAUCUCUUCAGGAAAUGGGAUGGAAGCACAGCAAUGGUAAUAGCCAUCGUCAUCAAACACAAACCUUUGUGAAAGAUGAGCUUCGCGUACAAGAUACUCCCCCCAGUCUUCCAAGCCAUAUUGACCAAAAAUCUUUCGUGCAUCAA
rnacentral:misc_RNA from 1 species